GAUGAACGCUGGCGGCGUGCUUAACACAUGCAAGUCGAACGGUGAAGCUCCAGCUUGCUGGCGUGGAUCAGUGGCGAACGGGUGAGUAACACGUGAGCAACCUGCCCCUGACUCUGGGAUAACAGCCGGAAACGGCUGCUAAUACCGGAUAUGCACCAUGAACGCAUGUUCUGUGGUGGGAAAGAUUUUUCGGUUGGGGAUGGGCUCGCGGCCUAUCAGCUUGUUGGUGAGGUGAUGGCUCACCAAGGCGUCGACGGGUAGCCGGCCUGAGAGGGUGACCGGCCACACUGGGACUGAGACACGGCCCAGACUCCUACGGGAGGCAGCAGUGGGGAAUAUUGCACAAUGGGCGAAAGCCUGAUGCAGCAACGCCGCGUGAGGGAUGACGGCCUUCGGGUUGUAAACCUCUUUUAGCAGGGAAGAAGCGAGAGUGACGGUACCUGCAGAAAAAGCGCCGGCUAACUACGUG
rnacentral:rRNA from 1 species